UCAUCACGGUGAUCUAUUAGUGGGAGGUAUUCCAGAAAGUGUGUUCAUUGAAAACUGACUUGAUCCAGAAACGGAGUCAGUUACCAAAGUAACAUUGACAUAACGCUCCAACAUUCAGAUAUUACACAAUGUAACCUUUUUAAUUUGUUUUUUAACCAAAUUAAAGUACUUUCCCAUUAUUUGUCCAGAUGUCACAGAUGAUGAUGAUGAGAGUGAGGAGGAACAAACAUUCACAACAAACAUUCACAACAAAGCAGAGGUAGAUUGUCCUCGUGAACUGAACGACAUGGACACUCCUGAUGCAGAUGGACUCCCUCCUGUACAUAAUGUACGCAAAGACAAGACACGAAGACCAUGGACCAAAGCAGAAGAAAAAGCUGUGCUGAGACAUUUCAAGUCUCACAUAAUUAAAGGUCAUUUAGCAUCAA